rnacentral:rRNA from 1 species
UAAGACGGAGGAUGCAAGCGUUAUCCGGAAUUAUUGGGCGUAAAGCGUACGUAGGCUGUUUCAUAAGUCUGUUGUCAAAGCGCGAGGCUUAACCUUGUAGAGGCAAUGGAAACUGUGAGGCUAGAGAGAGACAGGGGCAGGAGGAAUUCCAGGUGUAGCGGUGAAAUGCGUAGAUAUCUGGAAGAACACCAGUGGCGAAAGCGUCCUGCUGGGUCUCAACUGACGCUGAAGUACGAAAGCUAGGGGAGCGAAUGGG